rnacentral:rRNA from 1 species
UGGUCAAGUUAUUAAGGGUGCAGGGCGGAUGCCUUGGCACUAGGAGCCGAUGAAGGACGUGAUAAGCUGCGAUAAGCUUCGGGGAGUUGCACGUAAACUUUGAUCCGAAGAUUUCCGAAUGAGGAAACUCACUUAGAGUAAUGUCUAAGUAUCAUUAAGUGAAUACAUAGCUUAAUGAGGGGAACUCAGGGAACUGAAACAUCUAAGUACCUGAAGGAAGAGAAAGAAAUUCGAUUCCGUAAGUAGCGGCGAGCGAACGCGGAUUAGCCCAAACCAAUAAAGUUUUCUUUAUUGGGGUUGCGGACAUAUCAUAACGAAGAGGUAUCGUAAUUGAAGAGGUUUGGAAAGACCCACCACAGAAGGUAAUAGUCCUGUAUGUUAAACGAGAAGACUUCAGAUAUGAUCCAGAGUACCACGGGACACGUGAAACCCUGUGGGAAGCAGGAGGGACCACCCUCCAAGGCUAAAUACUACCUAGUGACCGAUAGCGUAUAGUACCGUGAGGGAAAGGUGAAAAGAACCCCGGGAGGGGAGUGAAAUAGAACCUGAAACCCUGCACUUACAAGCUGUGGAAGCACAUUUCUUGUGUGACCGCGUACUUUUUGUAGAACGGGCCAACGAGUUACGUUAAGUAGCAAGGUUAAGCACUUAAGGUGUGGAGCCGUAGCGAAAGCGAGUUUUAACUGAGCGUUCAGUUACUUGACGUAGACCCGAAACCGGGCGACCUACCCAUGAGCAGGAUGAAGCGAAAGUAAAAUUUCGUGGAGGUCCGAACCCACGAGCGUUGAAAAGCUCGGGGAUGACUUGUGGGUAGCGGUGAAAUUCCAAUCGAGCCCGGAGAUAGCUGGUUCUCCCCGAAAUAGCUUUAGGGCUAGCCUCAAGGUGAGAGAUACGGAGGUAGAGCACUGAAUGUCCUAGGGGGUAUUGCACCUACCGAAGACUAUCAAACUCCGAAUGCCGUCAUCUUAUACUUGGGAGUCAGACUGUGGGUGAUAAGAUUCAUAGUCGAAAGGGCAACAGCCCAGAUCGUCAGCUAAGGUCCCUAAAUGUAAGUUAAGUGGUAAAGGAUGUGGGAUUGCACAGACAACCAGGAUGUUGGCUUAGAAGCAGCCACUCAUUCAAAGAGUGCGUAAUAGCUCACUGGUCGAGUGAUCCUGCGCCGAAGAUUUCCGGGGCUAAAACUUACUACCGAAGCUACGGCAUCAGUAAUGAUGGGUAGGGGAGCUUCCCAUACGGGUUGAAGCAUGACCGUAAGGACAUGUGGACAGUAUGGGAGUGAGAAUGUUGGCAUGAGUAGCGAGAUGUGGGUGAGAAUCCCACAGGCCGUAAACCCAAGGUUUCCAGGGGAAGGUUCGUCCGCCCUGGGUUAGUCGGGACCUAAGCUGAGGCCGAAAGGCGUAGGUGAUGGACAACAGGUUGAUAUUCCUGUACUACCGAUAACCGUUUGAGAGAAGGGAUGACACAGUAGGAUAAGCUAAGCACACUGUUGGUUAUGUGUGCCCAAGCAUUGAGGCAGUCAAAGUAGGCAAAUCCGCUUUGAUAAUGCUGGGAUGUGAUGGGGAGCGAAAUUUA